rnacentral:rRNA from 1 species
AGCUCCAAAGGCAUAUAUUAAAGUUGAUGCGGUUAAAAAGCUCGUAGUUGGACCAUUGCAUGGGGUGGUGGUCUGCCUGCUGGGUAAGAACCAUUCCCCUGUGUGUACAUGUAUAGCUUUGCAUUGCGCUUGACUGUGUGGUGUUGUUGCUUGCAUACUAACUUUGAGGAAAUCAAUGUGCUUCACGCAAGUGUGUGCUGUGAAUACAAUAGCAUGGGAUAAAACACAUUUUGCGCGUACAUUUGUUUGUUGGUUCACAUCACGCGUAUAGUAGACAGAAACAGUUGGGGGCAUUUGUAUUUGACUGUAAGAGGUGAAAUUCUUGGAUUUGUCAAAGACAGCCUACUGCGAAUGCAUUUGCCAAGUAUGUUUUCC